GACGAAUCGUGCGAACGUUGUUCGGAAUCACUGGGCUUAAAGGGCGCGUAGGCGGUAGGCCAAGUCCGUGGAGAAAUCCUUCGGCUCAACCGGAGAAUGGCCUCGGAUACUGGUCUUCUAGAGGGAGGUAGGGGCAGCGGGAACUGCCAGUGGAGCGGUGAAAUGCGUUGAUAUUGGCAGGAACGCCGGUGGCGAAAGCGCGCUGCGGGACCUCUUUUGACGCUGAGGCGCGAAAGCUAGGGGAGCAAACGGG
rnacentral:rRNA from 1 species